rnacentral:rRNA from 1 species
UUUCCAGCAGCCGCGGUAAUACGGAGGGCGCAAGCGUUGUUCGGAAUCAUUGGGCGUAAAGCGCGUGCAGGCGGCUUGGUAAGUCGGAUGUGAAAGCCCGGGGCUCAACCCCGGAACUGCACCCGAUACUGCCUCGCUAGAGUCCCGGAGAGGAUGGCGGAAUUUCCGGUGUAGAGGUGAAAUUCGUAGAUAUCGGAAGGAACACCAGCGGCGAAGGCGGCCAUCUGGACGGUGACUGACGCUCAGACGCGAAAGCGUGGGGAGCAAACAGGAUUAGAAACCCGCGUAGUCC